rnacentral:rRNA from 1 species
UGUCUAGUAUAGCAUUAUACCGUGAAACUGCGAAUGGCUCAUUAAAUCAGUUAUCGUUUAUUUGAUAGUACCUUACUACUUGGAUAACCGUGGUAAUUCUAGAGCUAAUACAUGCUGAAAACCCUGACUUCGGAAAGGGUGUAUUUAUUAGAUAAAAAACCAAUGCCCUUUGGGCUCUUUGGUGAUUCAUGAUAACUUAACGGAUCGCAUGGCCUUGCGCCGGCGACGGUUCAUUCAAAUUUCUGCCCUAUCAACUUUCGAUGGUAAGGUAUUGGCUUACCAUGGUUUCAACGGGUAACGGGGAAUUAGGGUUCGAUUCCGGAGAGGGAGCCUGAGAAACGGCUACCACAUCCAAGGAAGGCAGCAGGCGCGCAAAUUACCCAAUCCCGACACGGGGAGGUAGUGACAAUAAAUACUGAUACAGGGCUCUUUUGGGUCUUGUAAUCGGAAUGAGUACAAUUUAAACCUCUUAACGAGGAACAAUUGGAGGGCAAGUCUGGUGCCAGCAGCCGCGGUAAUUCCAGCUCCAAUAGCGUAUAUUAAAGUUGUUGCAGUUAAAAAGCUCGUAGUUGAAUCUUGGGCCUGGCUGGCCGGUCCGCCUCACCGCGUGUACUGGUCUGGCCGGGCCUUUCCUUCUGGAGAACCUCAUGCCCUUCAGUGGGUGUGUUGGGGAACCAGGACUUUUACUUUGAAAAAAUUAGAGUGUUCAAAGCAGGCCUUUGCUCGAAUACGUUAGCAUGGAAUAAUAGAAUAGGACGUGCGGUCCUAUUUUGUUGGUUUCUAGGACCGCCGUAAUGAUUAAUAGGGAUAGUCGGGGGCAUCAGUAUUCAAUUGUCAGAGGUGAAAUUCUUGGAUUUAUUGAAGACUAACUACUGCGAAAGCAUUUGCCAAGGAUGUUUUCAUUAAUCAGUGAACGAAAGUUAGGGGAUCGAAGACGAUCAGAUACCGUCGUAGUCUUAACCGUAAACUAUGCCGACUAGGGAUCGGGCGAUGUUUCUAUCUUGACUCGCUCGGCACCUUACGAGAAAUCAAAGUUUUUGGGUUCUGGGGGGAGUAUGGUCGCAAGGCUGAAACUUAAAG